rnacentral:rRNA from 1 species
UUUUAUCAGAGAGUUUGAUCCUGGCUCAGGAUGAACGCUGGCGGCGUGCUUAACACAUGCAAGUCGAACGGGAAACUUUAUUGAAACUUCGGUCGAUAUGAUUUUUCUAGUGGCGGACGGGUGAGUAACGCGUGGGUAACCUGCCUU